rnacentral:rRNA from 1 species
UACGGGGGGAGCAAGCGUUGUUCGGAUUUACUGGGCGUAAAGCGUGCGCAGGCGGCGCGUUAAGACAGGUGUGAAAGCCCCGAGCUUAACUUGGGAAUUGCGCUUGUGACUGGCGAGCUGAAGUGUGGCAGAGGGAGGUGGAAUUCCACGUGUAGCAGUGAAAUGCGUAGAGAUGUGGAGGAACACCGAUGGCGAAGGCAGCCUCCUGGGCCAGCACUGACGCUCAUGCACGAAAGCGUGGGGAGCAAACAGG